ACAAACUUGGUCAUUUAGAGGAAGUAAAAGUCGUAACAAGGUCAUCGUAGGUGAACCUGCGGUGGGAUCAUCAAUAAUCUACCAAAACACAACCCAACGGUGUGAACUUGUGCUGAUUAUGUUUGUUGCUGGAGGCCCGUAGCGCAUGUUGCGGGUCGACUGUAAUCUUUUUUCUGUCUUCCUGGCCGGGAUUUAUCUCGCCGGGGGCGACAGGGGAAUACAUCUUGCACUCUACAGUGUUUGUAUACGGCCAACCAUGUAAACUUUCUGCUCUGCAGAUCGAACUACACAUUUUUUUGCUCUUUCGCUGUAACGGCGUAGGCAGUAAUUCUAUAAAACUAUUAAUGGUGGAUCACUUGGCUCUCGCAUCGAUGAAGAACGCAGC
rnacentral:misc_RNA from 1 species